UUUCUACGGAGAGUUUGAUCCUGGCUCAGGACGAACGCUGGCGGCGUGCUUAACACAUGCAAGUCGAACGAUGAUGCCCGAGCUUGCUCGGGUGGAUUAGUGGCGAACGGGUGAGUAACACGUGAGUAACCUGCCCUUCACUCUGGGAUAAGCCUGGGAAACUGGGUCUAAUACUGGAUAUGACGGCGCACUGCAUGGUGUGUUGUGGAAAGAUUUUUUCGGUGAAGGAUGGGCUCGCGGCCUAUCAGCUUGUUGGUGGGGUAGUGGCCUACCAAGGCGGUGACGGGUAGCCGGCCUGAGAGGGCGACCGGCCACACUGGGACUGAGACACGGCCCAGACUCCUACGGGAGGCAGCAGUGGGGAAUAUUGCACAAUGGGCGCAAGCCUGAUGCAGCGACGCCGCGUGGGGGAUGACGGCCUUCGGGUUGUAAACUCCUUUCGCCAUUGACGAAGCCCUUCGGGGUGACGGUAGGUGGAGAAGAAGCACCGGCUGACUACGUGCCAGCAGCCGCGGUAAUACGUAGGGUGCGAGCGUUGUCCGGAAUUAUUGGGCGUAAAGAGCUUGUAGGCGGUUUGUCGCGUCUGCUGUGAAAGCCCGGGGCUUAACUCCGGGUCUGCAGUGGGUACGGGCAGACUAGAGUGUGGUAGGGGAGACUGGAAUUCCUGGUGUAGCGGUGAAAUGCGCAGAUAUCAGGAGGAACACCGAUGGCGAAGGCAGGUCUCUGGGCCAUUACUGACGCUGAGAAGCGAAAGCAUGGGGAGCGAACAGGAUUAGAUACCCUGGUAGUCCAUGCCGUAAACGUUGGGCGCUAGGUGUGGGAUCCAUUCCACGGGUUCCGUGCCGCAGCUAACGCAUUAAGCGCCCCGCCUGGGGAGUACGGCCGCAAGGCUAAAACUCAAAGGAAUUGACGGGGGCCCGCACAAGCGGCGGAGCAUGCGGAUUAAUUCGAUGCAACGCGAAGAACCUUACCAAGGCUUGACAUGCACCGGACGACUGCAGAGAUGUGGUUUCCCUUUGUGGCUGGUGCACAGGUGGUGCAUGGUUGUCGUCAGCUCGUGUCGUGAGAUGUUGGGUUAAGUCCCGCAACGAGCGCAACCCUCGUUCCAUGUUGCCAGCACGUGAUGGUGGGGACUCAUGGGAGACUGCCGGGGUCAACUCGGAGGAAGGUGGGGAUGACGUCAAAUCAUCAUGCCCCUUAUGUCUUGGGCUUCACGCAUGCUACAAUGGCCGGUACAGAGGGUUGCGAGACCGUGAGGUGGAGCGAAUCCCUUAAAGCUGGUCUCAGUUCGGAUUGGGGUCUGCAACUCGACCCUAUGAAGUUGGAGUCGCUAGUAAUCGCAGAUCAGCAACGCUGCGGUGAAUACGUUCCCGGGCCUUGUACACACCGCCCGUCAAGUCACGAAAGUUGGUAACACCCGAAGCCCAUGGCCUAACCAGGUUUUCCUGGGGGGAGUGGUCGAAGGUGGGACUGGCGAUUGGGACUAAGUCGUAACAAGGUAGCCGUACCGGAAGGUGCGGCUGGAUCACCUCCUUUCU
rnacentral:rRNA from 1 species